rnacentral:ribozyme from 1 species
UACAGUUUUUUUUUUUUUUUUUUUUUUUUUUUUACGAACUCCA